rnacentral:rRNA from 1 species
UACGUAGGUGGCAAGCGUUGUCCGGAUUUACUGGGUGUAAAGGGCGUGUAGCCGGGUUGACAAGUCAGAUGUGAAAUCCUGCGGCUUAACCGCAGAACUGCAUUUGAAACUGUUGAUCUUGAGUACUGGAGAGGCAGACGGAAUUCCUAGUGUAGCGGUGAAAUGCGUAGAUAUAACUUAGAACACCGAUAGCGAAGGCAGCUUACCAGACUGAGUCUGACGCUGAUGCACGAGAGCAUGGGUAGCGAACAGG